GGACCUGACUGCUAUCGGAUUGAUACUAAGCCAUGCGAGUCAUUGUAGCAAUACAAGGCAUACGGCUCAGUAACGCGUAGUCAACCUAACCUAUGGACGGGAAUAACCUGGGGAAACUGAGAAUAAUGCCCGAUAGAACAUUAUGCCUGGAAUGGUUUAUGUUCCAAAUGAUUUAUCGCCGUAGGAUGGGACUGCGGCCUAUCAGUUUGUUGGUGAGGUAAUGGCCCACCAAGACUAUUACAGGUACGAGCUCUGAGAGGAGUAGAGUCCUAGAAACACUGAUGAAUAAGGGGUGGGCAAGUCUGGUGUCAGCCGCCGCAGUAAAACCAGCACCUCAAGUGGUCAGGAUGAUUAUUGGGCCUAAAGCAUCCGUAGCCGGCUCUGUAAGUUUUCGGUAAAUCUGUACGCUCAACGUACAGGCUGCCGGGAAUACUGCAAAGCUAGGGAGUGGGAGAAGUAGACGGUACUCGGUAGGAAGUGGUAAAAUGCUUUGAUCUAUCGAUGACCACCUGUGGCGAAGGCGGUCUACUAGAACACGUCCGACGGUGAGGGAUGAAAGCUGGGGGAGCAAACCGGAUUAGAUACCCGGGUAGUCCCAGCUGUAAACUAUGCAAACUCAGUGAUGCAUUGGCUUGUGGCCAAUGCAGUGCUGCAGGGAAGCCGUUAAGUUUGCCGCCUGGGAAGUACGUACGCAAGUAUGAAACUUAAAGGAAUUGGCGGGGGAGCACCACAAGGGGUGAAGCUGCGGUUCAAUUGGAGUCAACGCCAGAAAUCUCACCCGGAGAGACAGCAGAAUGAAGGUCAAGCUGAAGACUUUACCAGACAAGCUGAGAGGUGGUGCAUGGCCGUCGCCAGCUCGUGCCGUGAGAUGUCCUGUUAAGUCAGGUAACGAGCGAGAUCCCUGCCUCUAGUUGCCACCAUUACUCUCAGGAGUAGUGGGGCGAAUUAGCGGGACCGCCGCAGUUAAUGCGGAGGAAGGAAGGGGCCACGGCAGGUCAGUAUGCCCCGAAACUCUGGGGCCACACGCGGGCUGCAAUGGUAACGACAAUUGGUUUCGAAUCCGAAAGGAUGAGGUAAUCCUCAAACGUUACCACAGUUAUGACUGAGGGCUGCAACUCGCCCUCACGAAUAUGGAAUCCCUAGUAACUGCGUGUCAUUAUCGCGCGGUGAAUACGCCCCUGCUCCUUGCACACACCGCCCGUCGUUUCAUUGAAGUGAGCUUUUAGCGAGGUGACGUCUAAUUGGCGUUAUCGAACUUGAGGUUCGUGACAAGGGAAAACUCGUAACAAGGUACCCGU
rnacentral:rRNA from 1 species